UAGUAAGGUGCUUGCACUUUAUGAGAGUGGCGAACGGGUGAGUAACACGUAUGGUGAUCUACCGUAAAGUUGGGGAUAGCCUGUGGAAACACAGGGUAAUACCGGAUAAUUCUCAUUGUUUACGGACGGAUAAGGGAAAGGGGCCACGGCCUGCUUUUCGAAGAGCCUGCGUACCAUUAGUCAGUCGGCAGGGUAACGGCCUACCAAGGCGACCGAUGGAUAGCCGGCCUGAGAGGGUGACCGGCCACACUGGGACUGAGACACGGCCCAGAACUCCUACGGGAGGCUAGCUAGCUAAGAAUCUUCCGCAAUGGGCGAAAGGCCUGACGGAGCGACGCCGCGUGGACGACGAAGGCCGGAAGGUUGUACAGUCCUUUUCUCGAUGACGACUAAGGCAGCGAGGGAAUGCGCUGUCGAUGACAUUAGUUGAUGACUAAGCCCCGGCUAAUUACGUGCCAGCAGCCGCGGUAAUACGUAUGGGGCAAGCCGUAGUCCGGAAUCACUGUCCGUAAAGGGAGUGUAGGCGGAAAAGGUUAAGUUAGAAGUGUAAUCCACGGGCUUAACCCGUGACUCGCUUUUAAUACUGCUUUUCUUGAGUAUGGGAGAGGGAGAUGGAAUUCCAGGUCUAGCGGUGGAAUGCGUAGAUAUCUGGAAGAACACCAGUAGCGAAGGCGGUCUCCUGGCCCAAUACUGACGCUGAGGCUCGAAAGCGUGGGGAUCGAACAGGAUUAGAUACCCUGGUAGUCCACGCCGUAACCGAUGGACACUAGAUGUUGGCCUCUUCGGGGGUCGGUGUCGUAGCUAACGCGUUAAGUGUCCCGCCUGGGAAGUACGCUCGCAAGAGUGAAACUCAAAGGAAUUGACGGGGGCCCGCACAAGCGGUGGAGCAUGUGCUUUAAUUCGAUGCAACGCGAAGAACCUUACCUGGACUUGACAUGGGGGUGAAAGUUUUCAGAGAUGAAAACCCUUCCUUCGGGAACGCCCUACACAGGUGCUGCAUGGUUGUCGUCAGCUCGUGUCGUGAGAUGUUGGGUUAAGUCCCGCAACGAGCGCAACCCUUGUCCUUAGUUGCCAGCGGGUCAUGCCGGGAACUCUAGGGAGACUGCCUGGUACAACCAGGAGGAAGGUGGGGAUGACGUCAAAUCAUCAUGGCCCUUACGUCCAGGGCUAGACACGUGCUACAAUGGCCGGUACAGAGGGCUGCAAGACUGCGAAGUCAAGCCAAUCCCUGAAAACCGGUCUCAGUUCGGAUUGGAGUC
rnacentral:rRNA from 1 species